UACGAAGGGGGCUAGCGUUGCUCGGAAUUACUGGGCGUAAAGGGCGCGUAGGCGGACAGUUUAGUCAGAGGUGAAAGCCCAGGGCUCAACCUUGGAACUGCCUUUGAUACUGACUGUCUUGAGUUCGGGAGAGGUGAGUGGAAUGCCGAGUGUAGAGGUGAAAUUCGUAGAUAUUCGGCGGAACACCAGUGGCGAAGGCGGCAUCCUGGACCGGCAUUGACGCUGAGGCGCGAAAGCUAGGGGAGCAAACGGG
rnacentral:rRNA from 1 species